GAUUAAUUUGUGCAUGAGUGCUGUUUAUUUGAGCUUAUUUGCUUAUUUCAGGCAGUCAGAUAAAACAUCUCUGGUUCCGGUUUAAUUAAUGACAAAAGAACUGGGUGGCCCUAUUUACCGUACCGUAAUAGAGUCCUGCCAAUUCGAUGUCAUAUGCAUUAAAGUUUACAGAGUAGGCCUUCAAGCCUUCGUCAGCAAGGGAAUAUGCUGUAAAAAGGGGUAAAGCAGAGAAGAAGAAAAAGGGCUCUUCCUUCCCAAAGGCUCGACACCGCGUAUAGAAAAAGGUGUUUUUCCAGAAACACUACCCAACUGGGUGAAUGAAAAGUGAGGCAGACUCAAUGCCACAACGGCUCUUUCCCUUCUGCCGUCUUUUAAUUGUUUUACCUUUUAGUGCUUUUUGUUGUAACUGCCUCAGAACGUUUCAAAGUCUUUUCCGGGGAAAAUAAGGGGGUGGAGCCAAAACGUGCUAUUUUGCGUCAGCUAAAAUUUCAAAACCUGUUCCAUAAUAAAAAUCGCACAUUGUG